rnacentral:rRNA from 1 species
ACGGAAGGCAGCAGUGAGGGAUAUUGGUCAAUGGGCGGGAGCCUGAACCAGCCAAGUAGCGUGGAGGAUGACGGCCCUACGGGUUGUAAACUCCUUUUGCCGGGGGAUAAAAAACGGGACGCGUCCCGUCUUGCAGGUACCCGUGCGAAUAAGGACCGGCUAAUUCCGUGCCAGCAGCCGCGGUAAUACGGAGGAUCCGAGCGUUAUCCGGAUUUAUUGGGUUUAAAGGGAGCGUAGGCGGGAUGUCAAGUCAGCUGUGAAAUGUAGUCGCUCAACGUCUGCACUGCAGUUGAAACUGGUGUUCUUGAGUGCGUAAGAGGCAGGUGGAAUUCGUCGUGUAGCGGUGAAAUGCAUAGAUAUGACGAAGAACUCCGAUUGCGAAGGCAGCCUGCUGGGCCGCUACUGACGCUGAAGCUCGAAGGUGCGGGUAUCAAACAGGAUUAGAUACCCUGGUA